rnacentral:rRNA from 1 species
AUACGGAGGGCGCAAGCGUUGUUCGGAAUCAUUGGGCGUAAAGCGCGCGUAGGCGGCACGGCAAGUCGGGUGUGAAAGCCCGGGGCUCAACCCCGGAAAUGCACUCGAAACUGCCGAGCUAGAGUCUCGGAGAGGAAGGCGGAAUUCCCGGUGUAGAGGUGAAAUUCGUAGAUAUCGGGAGGAACACCAGUGGCGAAGGCGGCCUUCUGGACGAUGACUGACGCUGAGGUGCGAAAGCGUGGGGAGCAAACAGGAUUAGAAACACCAGUAGUCC